UAUCUUGUAGAGUCAACAGCGGCAGCAUUCGUCAGGAUUAGUCCUUUUAGUCACGUUUUCUUCAAGCGGAAAGAAACAAGCUCGCAGCGUGGCCUUUAAACUCGUUGGAUGCGAUGCCCGAAGGACUCAACUACCGUUUGCCGCUAUUAAAAUAAAUAGUCCAUUAUCCGUAACGUCUGGCCUAAUGUGUUGUACUUAGGAUACAAAGACCUCGCGGAUAAUCCUGAACAACAACAACGGGGAUGCAUCAUUGUUUGGUGAUGCCGCGGGCUGUGCGCCAACUAUAUAAACAGAAAACCGCCACUGCUAUCGUCCGUGCCACGACGAUGAACCGCAAUAAUGACGCUUUGCAUCAAUUAUCCUCAGGAUCAAGACCAGAAACAUAAGGUUCAGCUACAAAAUGGUGUAACCAAGUGAAUGAAAAUGGAUAAAGGACGCGGUGCGAUACAAACAAAACUCCCUGAACAACGAAAAA